UCCGAAUUGGUGUAGUGGCUAACAUUUGACGCUCUCAUGUGCUCUCCUUCGAGGAGAAGUCGGGGUCCGUCAAGCCCGGGGUUCGAUUCCCCGAUUCGGAG